UACGGAGGGGGCAAGCGUUGUUCGGAAUUACUGGGCGUAAAGGGCGCGUAGGCGGCUCGCUAAGUUGGAUGUGAAAACUCUGGGCUUAACCCAGAGCCUGCAUUCAAAACUGACGGGCUAGAGUUCUGGAGGGGAUAGCGGAAUUCCUGGUGUAGCGGUGAAAUGCGUAGAUAUCAGGAGGAACACCGGUGGCGAAGGCGGCUAUCUGGACAGAAACUGACGCUGAGGCGCGAAAGCUAGGGGAGCGAACGGG
rnacentral:rRNA from 1 species